rnacentral:rRNA from 1 species
ACGGGAGGCAGCAGUGGGGGAUAUUGCACAAUGGGGGGAACCCUGAUGCAGCGACGCCGCGUGAGCGAAGAAGUGCUUCGGCAUGUAAAGCUCUAUCAGCAGGGAAGAAAAUGACGGUACCUGACUAAGAAGCCCCGGCUAACUACGUGCCAGCAGCCGCGGUAAUACGUAGGGGGCAAGCGUUAUCCGGAUUUACUGGGUGUAAAGGGCGCGUAGGCGGGGAUGCAAGUCAGGUGUGAAAUCUAUGGGCUUAACUCAUAAACUGCACUUGAAACUGUAUCUCUUGAGUGCUGGAGAGGUAGACGGAAUUCCUUGUGUAGCGGUGAAAUGCGUAGAUAUAAGGAAGAACACCAGUGGCGAAGGCGGUCUACUGGACAGUAACUGACGCUGAGGCGCGAAAGCGUGGGGAGCAAACAGGAUUAGAUACCCUGGUA